GAGCCCAAGUAAGAUCUUAAAGCACAGUUUGGGCCUCUGUGGAUCACAUCAGAAGAUUAACACCACGUCAGUUGAUAUAUCUCAGCUCGCGCGUGGACUCCACGGCAUCAAAUUCGACCCGGAUCCGGCUCUAAUAGGUCGGGUUUCUGUUUUCACACUUUUGGAGCUGCACCUGAAGAGAUAGCUCAUUGCCCCGUCGAAGCGGAAGCGCUUGCUGAAGAAGAAGAUCACGGUCAUGGCAAUGGUAGAAAUAGUAACGAUAAUACAAAUAGCGUAAAUGAAUAUUGUUCUUUCAAAUCAGUAGCUAAAAUCAUUGUUUCUGUUGAUCCGCUCUUCUCCGAGGACUCUUCGUGUUUUCAAGUAGGAAUUCUACAUAACUAUGGCAGAAGAGUCAAUAUCAUGUAUCUGGCAUGGCUAACGUCCCACCAGCAAGUCUCAUAGACGACUUCCCUGAGCAAAUUGUCGAAAAGAGUCAUUGAUAACAAUCUUCUUAGGGGUGGUCUAUAAGCAUAAGUGAGAAUCAAAGUGAAAAAAAUAAGAGAUGCUGGGAUUUUCAUACGGAGAAGUAUUUCUGUUGCUUGGUGCUACUGCUGCUCUUAUUGGACCUAAAGAUCUACCAAUCAUCGCAAGAACACUAGGCAGAUUUGCUGGGCGUUCCAUUGGUUAUGUUCAAUUGGCCCGUGGCCAGUUAGAAAGUGUCAUGCAGCAGUCCCAAGCUCGCCAGGUGCAUAAGGAACUGCAAGAUACCAUGGCUCAACUAGAAGCUAUACGCCAUGAAAUUCGAACAAUCUCUUUCAUGAAUCCUGGUCCACUGACAUCAAGGCUAGUGGACAACAUCAACACUACAGCUGGGGAUAAUACGACUGCAAAUGGACCUCAAAUAUCUAUUGAAGACAGCACAAUCGUUGAAAAUGGACCUAAAAAAUUUGAUGAAGAGAUUACAAUAGUUGAAAAUAAACUUCAAAAAUCUGGUAAAGAGAGCAAAACAGAUACUAUCACACCUACAGAGCAUAAUUCAAGGAACUCAGCUUUAUCUGAUAUGCACAGCCAAGCAGCUGCUUAUGUAAGAUUGGCAGAGAUGGCUCCUUUGAAAUCUGUAUCUAUAGAGAAAGAAGGUCUGAGUGAACUGACUGAUGAAUCUGGCAGUAUUGUUGUACUUCCUGUCUCUGCUGAAAGCGCAGGAUUGUUGCCAAACCGUAAAGAUGGAGCAAAAGGGUCUGACAUUGUCUUAGAAGCAAUACUGGAGGCAGAUGUGGCAAAGAAUGCCAAAGAAUUUUUCUCACAGCCACAAAACCAAUUAAAAAGUGAAUGAAGAGUUUUUGAAAGAGAUGGUGAAUAAACUCUGCAUGUGUAACAAAAGAGGAGGGAACCAAGAGAACAUUUUAGCUGAAGCCAGAGUAUAAGAAAUCUGCGAAGAAUACAGCACACCAUGUUUUUUGGUAUGGCAUGUUUACACCUGAUUUCUUGAGCUGAGGGUCUAUCAGAAACAAACUCUCUACCUAUGAAGUAGCGCUAAGAUAUAAAAAGGACAAUCUGUUGGACAAAGCAUUUUAUAUUCAUGAUCCGGAGAAGGGCCGUACCUCUAUGGGUAUGAUGUAGAUGCUUCCAGGGCUCGAAUUCAUGACUUGUCUACUUGCUGGCCAUUGUGUGUAAAUGGAAACAUGCAUGCAUUAUGCAUACAUAUAAAAUCUAUAUGACUCGCUUAAAUGUUUUUUAUUCUUUUUUGGCGUGAAGUCAAACACUCAAAAUCCUUUUUAUGAUUGAGUACUAAGAGCCUUGAUUAUUCACGUAAUUAAGAUUGCAUCAAAGUUAUAUUACUGUAUAAUUCACUCCAAACAAAAAAAAGGGCAGUUAGUCAUGAA